rnacentral:rRNA from 1 species
UACGUAGGGGGCGAGCGUUGUCCGGAGUUACUGGGCGUAAAGCGCACGCAGGCGGUCUGUUAAGUUUGGAGUGACAGUUGGUGGCUCAACCACCAAGUGCUUUGAAAACUGGCAGACUUGGGCGUUCAGAGGGACACGGAAUUCCGGGUGGAGUGGUGAAAUGCGUAGAGAUCCGGAGGAACACCGAAGGCGAAGGCAGUGUCCUGGGGAGUACCUGACGCUCAGGUGCGAAAGCCAGGGGAGCGAACGGG